UGUGCUAAUCCCUUCAGGACUGCAGCAUUUAUCACCUACCACAUAGGUGUUAAGCGCUGCUUUCUAGGGGAAUUAGUGCU